rnacentral:lncRNA from 1 species
UGCCACCUCAGGUUGGGCUGAUGCCACCUUGAGCUUGGGUGAUGCCAUCUCAAGCUGGGGCUGAUGCCACCUUGGGCUGGGGCUGGUCCCACCUUGAGCUUGGGUGGUGCCACCUUGGCUUGAUGCCACCUUGAGUUGGGCUGAUGCCACCUUGAGCUUGGGUGAUGCCACCAGGGGCUGGUUUGUGCCACCUCAGGUUGGGCUGGUGCCAUCUCAAGCUGCUUUGAUGCCACCACGGGCUGGUUUGGUCCCAGCUCAGGCCGGGCCGAUGCCAGCCGGGGUUGUGGGCACCCCGUGGCCCCACAGGUGUGGGGCGGUGGGUGACGGUGGGGCGGGCGUUGCAGGUACUGCCUGAUGCAGUCCAUCAAGCACUGCCAGGUCCAGCGCGAGAGCCUGGUCCGGGCCGGGAAGAAGAUCGCCUACCAGGGCCGGGUGAAGGACGAGCCGGCCUACUACUGCAACGAGUGCGACGUGAGUCACCGCGGGUGGCCUUGGGGUGACCUCGGGGUGGCCUCGGGGGUGGCCUUGGAAGGGUCUCGGUCACAGCCUUGGUUUGGUCUUGGCACCAUCUUUGGCGUGGAUUUGGUAUGGCCUUGUCUUGGGGUGACCUUGCAAUGGCCUUCGAUGAUCUUGGUCAUGGUCUUGGGGUGGUCUUAGGGAGACCUUGGGGUGGCCUUGGAGUGGUCUUGGGCAUGGUCUUGGGGAGACCUUGGAAUGGUCUUGGGGUGACCUCGGGGUGGCCUUGGGGAGACCUUAGAAUGGUGUUGGGGUGGUCUUGGUCAUGGUCUUGGGAUGGCCCUGGGGUGGCCUCGGGGUGGCCUUGGAAAGGUCUCGGUCACAGCCUUGGUUUGGUCUUGGCACCAUCUUGGUCAUGGUCUUGGGAUGGUCUUGGAGUGGUCUUGGUCAUGGUCUUGGGAUGAUCUUGGUCGUGGUCUUGGGGUGGUCUUGGGGAGACCUUGGGGUGGCCUUGGGAUGAUCUUGGGCAUGGUCUUGGGGUGGCCUUGGGAUGGUCUUGGGGAGACCUUGGGGUGGCCUUGGGAUGAUCUUGGGCAUGGUCUUGGGGUGGCCUUGGGAUGGUCUUGGGGAGACCUUGGGGUGGCCUUGGGAUGGUCUUGGGCGUGGUCUUGGGGUGGCCUUGGGGAGACCUUGGGGUGGCCUUGGGAUGGUCUUGGGAUGGUCUUGGGGUGGCCUUGGGGAGACCUUGGAAUGGUGUUGGGAUGGUCUUGGUCAUGGUCUUGGGAUGGUCUUGGGGAGGCCUUGGGGGUGGCCUUGGGGGUGGCCUUGGAAGGGUCUCGGUCACAGCCUUGGUUUGGUCUUGGCACCAUCUUGGUCAUGGUCUUGGGAUGGUCUUGGGGAGACCUUGGGAUGGCCUUGGGAUGGUCUUGGGCGUGGUCUUGGGGUGGCCUUGGGGAGACCUUGGGGUGGCCUUGGGCAUGGUCUUGGGGUGGCCUUGGGGAGACCUUGGAAUGGUGUUGGGAUGGUCUUGGUCAUGAUCUUGGGAUGGCCCUGGGGUGGCCUUGGGGUGACCUCGGGGUGGCCUUGGGGGUGGCCUUGGAAGGGUCUCGGUCACAGCCUUGGUUUGGUCUUGGCACCAUCUUGGUCACGGUCUUGGGGUGGUCUUGGGGAGACCUUGGGGUGGCCUUGGAGUGGUCUUGGGCAUGGUCUUGGGGAGACCUUGGAAUGGUCUUGGGGUGACCUCGGGGUGGCCUUGGGGAGACCUUAGAAUGGUGUUGGGGUGGUCUUGGUCAUGGUCUUGGGAUGGCCCUGGGGUGGCCUCGGGGUGGCCUUGGGGGUGGCCUUGGAAGGGUCUCGGUCAUGGCCUCGGUUUGGUCUUGGCACCAUCUUGGUCACGGUCUUGGGGUGGUCUUGGGGAGACCUUGGGGUGGCCUUGGAGUGGUCUUGGGCAUGGGCUUGGGAUGGUCUUGGGGUGGUCUUGGGGUGACCUUGGGCCGUGGUCUUGGGGUGGCCUUGGGGAGACCUUGGAAUGGUGUUGGGGUGGUCUUGGGGUGUCCUUGGUCGUGGUCUUGGGGAGACCUUGGAAGGGCCUCGGUCACAGCCUUGGUUUGGUCUUGGCACCAUCUUGGGCAUGGCCUUGGGAUGGUCUUGGGGUGGUCUUGGUCAUGGUCUUGGGGUGUCCUUGGUCAUGGCCUUAGGGUGGUCUUGGGGUAGUCAUGGCCAUCAUCUUGGCAUGGCCUUGGGGUGGUCUUGGCUGUGGUUUUGGCAUGACCUUGGGGUGGUCUUGGUCAUGGCCUUGGUCAUGGUCUUGAUAUUGUCUUGGUGUGACCUUGGCGUGACCCUGGCCGUGGUCUUGGGGCCAUGACCUUGCUGUGGCGUUGACCAUGACCUUGGCGUGAUCUUGACCAUGGUCUUACCGAGGUGUUGGCCACGACCAAGACGGUGGCCAAGAAGACCUCCAAGCCCAUGGGCGAAACCCUCCUGAGACCACACCGAGGGUGAUGGGGAUGUCACCCAUCUCAGGGUGGGGGUGGGACCUUCCACGUGGUGACACCCCAGAGGCCACCACCCCCCAAAGGGUUGGCCAAGACCCUCUCGGGCCGACUCUCCUCGUGGUGGGAUGAGGAAGCGAGGAGCCGCGGUGGGGUCCUGCUGGAGGUGUGGGGUGGUGACGAUGCCAUGGGUCACCCCACGGGUGCAUGUCCUGCAGGUGGAGGUCUUCAACAUCCUCUUCGUGACC